UGGGGAAUAUUGGACAAUGGGGGCAACCCUGAUCCAGCAAUGCCGCGUGUGUGAAGAAGGUCUUCGGAUUUGUAAAGCACUUUCGACGGGGACGAUGAUGACGGUACCCGUAGAAGAAGCCCCGGCUAACUUCGUGCCAGCAGCCGCGGUAAUACGAAGGGGGCUAGCGUUGCUCGGAAUGACUGGGCGUAAAGGGCGUGUAGGCGGUUUACACAGUCAGAUGUGAAAUCCCCGGGCUUAACCUGGGAGCUGCAUUUGAUACGUGUAGACUAGAGUGUGAGAGAGGGUUGUGGAAUUCCCAGUGUAGAGGUGAAAUUCGUAGAUAU
rnacentral:rRNA from 1 species